AAGUAGGUGGCGUAUGAAGCGUGUGCGGUUUCGGGUCGUAAGGAGAAAUAAAAUUUCCCUACUUU
rnacentral:tRNA from 1 species